rnacentral:tRNA from 1 species
GGGCGUGUAGCCGUAGGCGCUGCCCUCGUUGAAGGCGGGGCCGGCGAUGUCGAGGUGCACCCACGGCAGCUGGACGCCGUCCUCGCCCGC